rnacentral:rRNA from 1 species
GCCUACGGGGGGCAGCAGUAGGGAAUUUUCGUCAAUGGGCGCAAGCCUGAACGAGCAAUGCCGCGUGAACGAGGAAGGUCUUCGGAUCGUAAAGUUCUGUUGAAGGGGAAAAAGAGCGGAGAGAGGAAAUGGUCUCCGAUUGAUAUUACCCUUCGAGGAAGUCACGGCUAACUACGUGCCAGCAGCCGCGGUAAUACGUAGGUGGCGAGCGUUAUCCGGAAUGAUUGGGCGUAAAGGGUGCGUAGGCGGCCUGCUAAGUCUGGAGUGAACGGUACCGGCUCAACCGGUACAGGCUCUGGAAACUG